rnacentral:rRNA from 1 species
AGCAGCCGCGGUAAUUCCAGCUCCAAUAGCGUAUAUUAAAGUUGUUGCAGUUAAAAAGCUCGUAGUUGAAUUUCGGGAUCAAUACGUCGGUCGUGCUUUUUUGGUACGCACUGGCGUCAUUGGUUCCUCCUUUCUGACGAACCAUGAUGUCAUUAAUUUGGUGUUAUGGGGAGUUAGGACUGUUACUUUGAAAAAAUUAGAGUGUUUAAAGCAGGCAUUAGCUUGAAUACAUUAGCAUGGAAUAAUGAAAUAGGACGUUCGAUCCUAUUUUGUUGGUUUCUAGGAUCAACGUAAUGAUUAAUAGAGAUAGUUGGGGGCAUUAGUAUUCAAUUGUCAGAGGUGAAAUUCUUGGAUUUAUUGAAGACUAACUACUGCGAAAGCAUUUGCCAAGGAUGUUUUCUAUUAAUCAAGAACGAAAGUUGGGGGAUCGAAGACGAUCAGAUACCGUCGUAGUCUUAACCAUAAACUAUGCCGACUAGGGAUCGGAUGAUGUUAAUUUUUUAAUGACUCAUUCGGCGCC